GAUGAACGCUGGCGGCGUGCCUAAUACAUGCAAGUCGAGCGAACGGACGAGAAGCUUGCUUCUCUGAUGUUAGCGGCGGACGGGUGAGUAACACGUGGAUAACCUACCUAUAAGACUGGGAUAACUUCGGGAAACCGUAGCUAAUACCGGAUAAUAUUUUGAACCGCAUGGUUCAAAAGUGAAAGACGGUCUUGCUGUCACUUAUAGAUGGAUCCGCGCUGCAUUAGCUAGUUGGUAAGGUAACGGCUUACCAAGGCAACGAUGCAUAGCCGACCUGAGAGGGCGAUCGGCCACACUGGAACUGAGACACGGUCCAGACUCCUACGGGAGGCAGCAGUAGGGAAUCUUCCGCAAAGGGCGAAAGCCUGACGGAGCAACGCCGCGUGAGUGAUGAAGGUCUUCGGAUCGUAAAACUCUGUUAUUAGGGAAGAACAUAUGUGUAAGUAACUGUGCACAUCUUGACGGUACCUAAUCAGAAAGCCACGGCUAACUACGUG
rnacentral:rRNA from 1 species